rnacentral:rRNA from 1 species
GUGAACCUGCGGAGGGAUCAUUACACAAAUACAAUAUGAAGGCUUCGGCUGGAUUAUUUAUUUCACCCUUGUCUUUUGCGCACUUGUUGUUUCCUGGGCGGGUUCGCCCGCCACCAGGACCACACCAUAAACCUUUUUUGUUAAUGCAGUCAGCGUCAGUACAACAAAUGUAAAUCAUUUACAACUUUCAACAACGGAUCUCUUGGUUCUGGCAUCGAUGAAGAACGCAGCGAAAUGCGAUACGUAGUGUGAAUUGCAGAAUUCAGUGAAUCAUCGAAUCUUUGAACGCACAUUGCGCCCUUUGGUAUUCCAAAGGGCAUGCCUGUUCGAGCGUCAUUUGUACCCUCAAGCUUUGCUUGGUGUUGGGCGUUUUGUCUUUGCUCGCCAAAGACUCGCCUUAAAACGAUUGGCAGCCGACCUCUUGGUUUCGCAGCGCAGCACAAUUUUGCGCUUGCAAAUCAGCAAGUUGGCACUCCAUCAAGAACAUUUCUUACGUUGACCUCGGAUCAGGUAGGAUACG